GUGUCUCUCAAGUACAAUGUAGGAAAAAACAACAACAACAACAAUGUGCAAGGCUGUGGUGUUAUUGUCCAAGUUGUGGACAUUUAGUGAACAUUAGUGAACAUUAGUGACCACGCCCACUACCAACAUGCAGGUUAUCAGGCGCUUUAAUUCCAGCGUUCUGAUGGGUGAACUGGUGAAUUAGUGAACAUUAGUGACCACGCCCACUACCAACACCAACAUGCAGGUUAUCAGGCGCUUUAAUACCAGGGUUCUGAUGGGGGAACUGGUGACAGUGACAUUAGUGACCACACCCACUACCAACACCAACAUGCAGGUUAUCAGGCGCUUUAAUUCCAGCGUUCUGAUGGGGGAACUGGUGAAUUAGUGAACAUUAGUGACCACGCCCACUACCAACACCAACAUGCAGGUUAUCAGGCGCUUUAAUUCCAGCGUUCUGAUGGGGGAACUGGUGAAUUAGUGAACAUUAGUGACCACGCCCACUACCCACACCAACAUGCAGGAUAUCGGGGGCUU
ensembl:lncRNA